rnacentral:rRNA from 1 species
UGCGUAGGGUGCAAGCGUUAAUCGGAAUUACUGGGCGUAAAGCGUGCGCAGGCGGUUUUGUAAGUCUGUCGUGAAAUCCCCGGGCUCAACCUGGGAAUUGCGAUGGAGACUGCAAGGCUAGAAUCUGGCAGAGGGGGGUAGAAUUCCACGUGUGAGCAGUGAAAAUGCGUAGAGAUGUGGAGGAACACCGAUGGCGAAGGCAGCCCCCUGGGUCAAGAUUGACGCUCAUGCACGAAAGCGUGGGGAGCAAACGAGGAUAGAGUACGUGUAUGUCCAGUACCCAGUCUACCUGCUACCU